AUGAAAUGACUUAUCUAUAAAUGUCUUUUAAAGGCUUACAACUCCAACUCUACGAUUUUCUAGAGUACCUAAUCACCUGCUCCACUAACUCCACCAAAUUUCCUAGAGCUGGAGCUAUCGCAAACAGAGCCUUAGUUGUCAAACGAUAUUAACUCUAAGAACUCAGUUCCUUGAAAAAAAAUGUGAAGUUGGGGUGAACUAUACCAUUUUGAUGGAACAUAAACACGGGUACUCCACAAAACUUGUUUUCAUAUGUAAACCUGGAGUUUAGAGCCAUGAGAGAAAAUAACAUUACAUCUCUCUUUCUUUUUUUUGCUUUCCUAUGCACACAAUUUUAUCUUUAAACUCAUUUUCUUCCUUGCAUACAUUGACUUCGGUUGUUAAGGAUGCCAUGCAGCUUAGCAUGGAGCUCGAGAUGCCUCAAUAUCAUAUAAGUCGCAAUGAUCGUGGUCCCGAUGAUCAAGAAGUGUCGGGUCACGAAUCCCGAGCAGACAACAAAAUCAACAACGUUGUCGCCUCCAGAAAGCAUCGUCUCCUCAUGUCACCCGUGUCGAACAAGAAGCACGCGUGGUCGACCCACAAUAAACCAUUCCCCACCCACCAAGUCCCCCUAUAAGCCAAACAGUUUGAAAACUCUAAAAACUUCGAUGGUGGAGCAACUCAAUGGUGGAGUUGGUGGAGCACAACUAAAAAUGGUGGAUCGGAGUAGUCGCAACCAUCACCUUAAUUAAUUUUAGUGUAUUAAAAGAAUUUGUCGAGUUUUGGUCUCAAUCAUGGUUUUAAAUAGCGAGCUAAAGGGUUUGGCGGCGUGCUUCUCAAAAGUGCAAAUAACAGACUAUAUCGGGAUAUAACAGGCUAUAGCGGGCUAAAUGAGGCUAUAUCACAUAUCUCGCCCUUGAGAAAACAACUAUGGCGGGCUAUAGCGAAGGUUAUAACCGUCUAUUUAAAACUCUGGUCUCAACACACUAAACUAUAUCCACCAUAACUGAUCUUUGUACAAACUAGCAACUAAAAUAAAACUGUUGUGCCGAUACGUGCAUCGUCCACUUAUCUCAAGUAAAUUCAAUGAAAUCAAUCAUUGAUUUGUUUUUCUCCAAAAUCUCAAAGAGCUAGUAAAGGGAAACCUAAAUAUGAAACUCAAUAAAUAUAUUAGCAGUGGAGAUAUUUCUGAACUAGUAAGUAGCACACUUAUAUAUAUAAUAAAGCCACAUCUUUCCAUCAUGCAUUCCUCCUCAUAUUCAACCAUUCUCUAGACAAUAUGGCAUGAUCAAUGUCAAAAGUGUGAGUUCAUCAGAAAUCGUAAAUCGACACAUAGAAAAAAAUAGAACCCAUCAUGUUUGGUGAAUUACUGUUGCCUUUGACGGCGCAAAUGCAAAGUGUAUCGACGACCUAGGACGUCCUGUGUGAGAAUAAGUACAACGUGGAUUGGUUCCUUUUUGUUCUUCAAUCUACAGUUGGGCACGUGCAUGAAUGGAUGUACUAGUUCAACGUGCCUUAACCUUGGUGAUCACAUAUUUGAUUGAAACCAUCAUAUUCAUGACAUUGGUUUAGAGUCCUAACUAAUACUAAUACCAAUAUGAUGGCACUAUAUAGUAUUGCAGAGCGAUUGCGACGCCAACCAGGUCAAACCCCGCAUACAACAUCGCUCGCUCUCUGACGAACCACGUGCAGAUCUCCAUAUGUUGCCAAUAGAAAAUCGUGUAUCACUAUGUUUAUCAAUAGACAUUAAUGUUAUAAAAUAAAAUAAAAAUGACGUGAAUUUUGUUUGACUAUGUUUAUCUCAAUAUUAAGAUAUCAAUAGACAUUAACUUAUGGUGUAUCACACUUAACGAUAUAUUUUUAGUUCUUAUUAAAGAAGAUCUUGCGUCCAAUGUUCUUUUUAUUGAUUGGAGAUUGUAUGUACCGUAGGGCGUGACUACAAUAUUUUUUAUUGAUUGGAGAUUGUAUGUACAGAUUUACAAAGCGAGGGGAAGGGGAAAGAGUGUAACUAUGUUACAAAAUGUUGUAUCCAACUUCUAAUUUUGUGUCCAAUACCGGGCUUAACCCGGUGACAUAUGUAGCUCAUCUCGGUCUUGAACAUCUCAUUGCAGGCUUUCACCGUGGGUGGUACAUCAUUGAAUAUCCAAUUAUUUCUACAUUUCCAGAUGCACCAAGAUAUGGUUAUGAUAAUUUCCAUUCUCCAUGCCACUUUCAGUCUUGCUCUAAUCAGCAAUAUUGUAGACACUAGAUUCACCGUUCGGGGCGGGGUGAUACCGAGUGUGAGCCAGCAUCUUCUAGCAAAGUUGCAUCUUAGGAGGAGGUGAAGUAUCAUUUCUUGAAGUAUCGUUUCUUCUCGUUGCAGUAUGCAGUUUUCACAUGUGUAGGAAUCCAGAGGCAUAGCUCGUCCAUUGUUCUUUAAAAUGAAAUAUUUAAUUAUAUCUUUAUGUUUAAUCUUCUCCAUAAUAUCAUUUUUCAAUUGAAAUUGUUGCUAAUCUGUCAAGUCUUUCUUGUGUCAUAGUACCAUGCAUGUAGGGCUUGAGGAACAUUAGUUUUGAAAACCUUCGUUCUGUAGAUGUAGAUAUCACACAGGAAUAACUGAUCUUUGUACAAACUAGCAACUGAAAUAAAACUGUUACGCGAGUACUUGCAUGGUCCACUUAUCUCAAGUAAAUUCAAUGAAAUCAAUCAUUGAUUUGUUUUUCUCCAAAAUCUCAAAGAGCUAGUAAAGGGGAACCUAAAUAUGAAACUCAAUAAAUA
rnacentral:lncRNA from 1 species